UACGUAGGGGGCAAGCGUUGUCCGGAUUUAUUGGGCGUAAAGAGCGUGUAGGCGGCUUUACAGGUCCGUUGUGAAAACUCGAGGCUCAACCUCGAGACGCCGGUGGAAACCGUAAAGCUAGAGUCCGGAAGAGGAUAGUGGAAUUCCUGGUGUAGCGGUGAAAUGCGCAGAUAUCAGGAAGAACACCCGUGGCGAAGGCGGCUCUCUGGGACGGUACUGACGCUGAGACGCGAAAGCCAGGGGAGCGAACGGG
rnacentral:rRNA from 1 species